rnacentral:lncRNA from 1 species
CAACAGUAUAAAAUAAUACAACGGCCCCUAGGGCUAAAUCAGAUAGUUUAACAUAUGCCGAUUCCAAUCGUGUUUUCUCCUAAGUCAAAUCCCAGUCCAACAUGUACAUUUAAGAUUUACUAGUCAUGUUCUCAAUACUGAUUUUAUCCAGGAUAGCAUCACGAACAUCAAGCUACAACAUGAUUACCGAAACUGAAAAAUCAUACAUGUCGACGAUUACGGUACUUAGGAAUAAACCGAUGUAAACCCACCUCGAAAGCUAUCCCCUGGCAGCGGUACACUCUCACAGCUGUGGCGCCACCUGCUGGGUCGAUCGUAGCCCUUCGAACCCAAGAAUCGCGCUAACUCCAAGCUCUACACCAAACAAUUCACCGUUUCAGUCCAGUUUUCGCAGCAGUGGAGUACAACAAGGAUUUGACCAAGCUAACCUUCACCAAAUCUGGAAAAUAAGGGCUUCAUGGAUUCCUCUCGAAGUCCCGAAUCCAACGAACCAAGUCUCGUCGCGAUCCGACAUUCCUACGUCGCGUACAAGCUGAAAUACCCACGGUCGACGGUGAAUUUCAGCAAAACAGCAUUUCGAGUAGAAGUAGCAGAAUCAGCUGAAACCUCGGAGGAAUUGGAGAAUAGCUCACCACACCCGCUGUCCAACUCCGGUGCGUCGACGAUAACAGCAACGACUCGCGCUCGCACAGCUUCCUCGCGCUGCCCCGACGUCAAGUACGUGCUCGAUCGGUUCCGCGGCGCGACGUCGACGGCGAAAUCUCUCCGCGGCACUCCUCAAGCUUGUCCCCUGCUUCAGUCGCACGAGAAAGAGAGAGAAACGAGAGACUUAAUUAGUGAAGUGCAUGCACACCCUCCUUAAUUAAACAGAUAUGCAUGCAAUGGG